CCCUCACCUGCGCACACCGGCCUUUGGCCGCUCCUUCCCCUCGCCCCUUUUCCGCUCUCAUCCCUCUCUCUCGAGGAGCGACUGAGGCGGACCCGCCGGUCCGAGCUGCGGUCGGGGACCCUUCCAUAAAGCGCUCCGUCCGCACGCCCCACGGCUCUGGAGAGAUCUGCAGAUGUCUUUUAUAUCAUCUCUUGAACUGCCACAUGAAAAAGAAAAACUUCAAAAUUCGGGUCAUCCAGGGCAGUGGGAAUUAAAUAAAGAAUGUGAUCCUCACCUGUCAGUCCUACCUUUUGCUCCUGUAAACAGAUGGAAGAUGAAGACUCCUCCCUCUCCAAUCAAAGAAGCUUAUGUAAAGAAGUGUGUCUUGGAGACAGGAGAGCAGAGGCAGGGUAGGUCUGUGAGUGCCCAGCUGCUUAUAAAAGAUGGUGACCAGUGGUACUCAUGAGUAGAAUCCCAGCUACUGACUCCACUUUGUCAUCUGAGCUGUUAUUUUAAUGCGUAUAUGGCUCAAGCCAACUACCAGCUCCUUGGAGUACAUAGAAUGUCACUUUUCUGGUCUAAGUUAUUCCUCUGCCUCUAUCCUGCACAAUAGUGGGUGUGAUACCAGCUCAUGGCUUGCCUGUUACCUCAGCCAGGCAGGUGUUGAGAUGUACAUAUUUUACAAACCUAUGAUAUUAUUGAUUCAAGUAAUGUGUACAGUAUUUUUUUCUAGCUGGUGCUUUCAAGUAUGCUUGGAGAGUUUCCAACAAUAGCACUUCCUCCCUGAAGAUCUUACAGUGUAGCAGAUCUCUUUUGAUCUCUCUUCACUAUGCUUUUGUCCAUGAAAGGCAGUACAGAUUUCACUGUAUAUAAUGUGUGACUCUAAGGUGGUGUUGAACCACGGGAAUAUCCCUCAGAGCUAUUGCUAGUUCCUCAGUGCUGUCUGUGGGAAGGACAGAAUUGCUACAGAAACCAACAAGAUGAUUUUGACGUAUCAGUGAGAAUUCAAGAACAUUUAAGAAAGUUCCUCUUCUACAUCAUCUUGGAAGAAGGAGACAUGAUAGAGACAAGUGUAAAGGUGUAGAGACAGACUCUAUCCACAGUAUGCAUGACACAGUACUCCUCAUGUCUCAGAGAGUGGAUACAUGAAUAUUUACUGAAUACAUUAUAUUUACUGAAUAGGAACAGAGGGAAAGAACCAAAACUUCUCAUAGUUUUGCAUGUUCAAAAUUUACAAGUAAAAUAAUUUGAGAAACAGAUUUGUCAUUCGGAAGGAAUUAUGAUUAUAGAUUAUGAAGAGCAAAUAGUGAUAAAGUAAGUUAGGCACAUCAUUGUCAUGUUCAUUCAGCCUCACUAUGAACUUCAUUGGCUCGUCAGAGUGUAAAAAUUAAACAGAGAUAUGUUAUUUUCAAUCUCCUUCAGCUGCAGCGUAUCACUAUGACCAUGAUUAUAUGUAAGCUUCUACAAAAACUUUCAAGAUUCCUGGUUUAAUAAUUAAAGUGGUUCACUGAUUGAUAUUCAUGUGUCAACCAAUUUCAUCUAAGUAUGGGCUACCAGAAGAGGUAGUUUUGUCUUAUCCCUCAGUCCCAACCACAAAAGUCACUUCUGUCAGAAGUGGUGCUCUGUUCAUGGUGAAAAUCUAACCCAUGAAAAAAAAAAACUAAUGCUAAAAUAAAUUUACUUUUCAUCUACA
rnacentral:lncRNA from 1 species